CGAAACUACAGUCCAAUGAUCUGGUUGGUUGCCGACAAAAAGGAAAAGUAAUUGGUUGGUUAGAUUUAGCCAGUGAAAAGGGUUUUAGUGAAAAGAGUUUACAAAUUCAAAACUAACAACAAUUACACAUCAAACAUAUAGCACAUGACAACUAGCAGGUGAAAACUGAAUAGAACUUUUAGGAGACGAAACCAUCCUCCACUCAACACUAAAAUCCCCAUUUUGCCCUUCACUCACUCUCCCUUCCGCUACGUUAAUCCCACUGGCCACCACAAACACACGAUCAUCAGCUCCCGUCACGGCGAAAGGACGCCGCAUCUUCUCCCCCUGUAGCUUCUCACCACUCACGUACCUCCACGUGUCAUCAUCUGAACAAUAAACCUUCAUCGGAAAAUCACCGUGCUCCGAGAUCACAAACAGCCUGUCGCGGAUCACGACGCUCACACCCGUCCACCCUUCUUUCAUCCCACCGCUCAUCUCUCGCCACGUGCCUUCGUCGGAGUCGUACACUUGUCCCAUCGGUGGAAACAUGAACGGCCACGCCCAUCCUUCUGUUACACACAUCUCUUUCCCGAUCACGGCUGAGUCAUACUUCGCCAACACCAUCGGCAACUUCUUCACAACCGUCCACGUGUCAUUAUCUGGAUCAUACGAUUCAACUUCCGUAGUUGCUUCUCCGUUUCCGCCCACACUCCCACCAACGGCCAUGAUUUUACCGUUAACAUUCCCGGAGACGAAGUACGUUCUCGGGCUCAUCAUCGGAGAUAUACACGACCAACGAUUCGUUAGAGCAGUGUAAACGACGGCGGAGCGGUUUACAUCUCCGCCGCCGAGUACAAAAAGCUUCCCCUGACGUGGCAUCGACGCGCAUGAGAGUGCGUGAGGAGACGAGAUUUUGGUGAAAGAGUUUGGCAUGGGAGGUAAAACAAACCAACGGCCAGAUGCAAGGUCAAGGGAUUGCCAUUGAAUCCUAGCCGUUGAUUUGUUGAAAGCGAAGACAAAUAGGUAAGGAGAAGAGAUAGAAAGAGAUUGCUUGGAGAAGAGGAAUCUAGGGUUUGUGAUGGUUUUGUUCCAUGAAGAUGAAACAGAGCGAUAUAGAGCAUGGUAUGGGUAAGGAAGACGAAGAAGACAAAGCUCAGCUAUAUCAUUUGGUAGACCUGAAAUCAAUGGCUGAGAUUUUGUUCUUGUUUCUUCUUCUGCUUGAUCAUUAAUGGUGUUUAUGUUUGACGUAGUUUCUUGUUCUGCCAUUGUUGUUGAUAUUCAUAAGAUGAAAUGGUUUUAGAUAUAAAAUGUUAAAGUUUGGGAAAAGAAAUCAAAUCCAUGAAUGUAGUUGGAUCUUGAUUGAUAAAAGGUCACAUUCGCAUAAUUACGACAUGGGACGGUGGAUGGUUGAGAGUCUCGAGAAAACUAGUGGUUACACAUGAGUCCACGUUUGUGGUUAUUUGGAGCCAACAAUUCUCAGAUUACGUGUGUAUCUAUGUAGAGACAAUUUUCAAGAUAGUUAUAAUUGCAGUUACUGUUUCCAGAGACAGUUUUGUAACACGACAUUGUUUAACAUUAUGUCAGGACCAAUUCGAUCUUCUUGAAGUCAUGUUCUCCUCUUGCUAUUACAAGACUUUGUUCGUAUAUUCAAUCUAAUAUAAUAGUUGAAGAUGUUUCUGGUUAUGAUAUUGUGACUUAGACAUUGCAGUUACAGAUUCAACAAGCAAGGUUUUGCCAGAGCCUCUAUAGGAGGAUCAAACAAGAUUUCUGAGUUGAAAUGUAACAUAUAUGUUUUGGGUUUAGGAUAUUAUGAAUCUCUGAUACUUUCAUUAGCAAGAACAGCUAGUUAUGGAUUUAUUAGUUACACAAGUUCCACUUUUUCUGGUUUGUCUUGCCUAAGCUUCUAAGACAGUAAGAAGUAGAACAUCCCAAAUGUGGUUUAUCUAAUACUAUAUAUGUCAGGUCUUGAGAAAUAACAUUAUCUGUAAUUUACCUGGCGUCUUCUCGUUUCACUGAUCACGGGAUAGGAACUAGUUAUAGCUCACUCAAGAAGAGUUAUCAAUGUACCUGAAAACGAAGAUUUAUCCGGUGACACCAUCAUGUUAUAAUACGACUCUAAUCGCCAAAUGCAACAUUUUUCAUCCCUUUCUCCUAUCAUUCUAAUAUCCCAUAUGGCCAUAACAAUACAAGUCAAAUCAAGUCUAUCGAUGAAACAAAGAGCUGGUACCAUAAAGAAGAGAGGCAUAGGUUUGGAAGGGCUUGACCAGGUCUGGUAAACCCCAU